rnacentral:lncRNA from 1 species
CGCGCGCACACUGUGGCAGCUGCGCCGCACGGUGUCCCUCCGCCGUCGAGGCCGCGGCCUUCUUUUCGUAUCCUUCCACCGUGCCCGGGCGGGGUCCAGGCGGCUCACCGGGGGCGGCGACGCGGCGGCGGUGCGGGCGGCAGGGCAGCGGGGCGAUGAGGUGAGGACGCCCGGGAACCGGAGGCGGCACCGCGCGGCGCACGGACCUGGGACGCGGAGUCCUGAAGCCGGCGGACGGUUUUCGUACGGGCGGCCGUGCGCGAGGCGAGGUAAUGGUAACUCGGGAUUUGAAGGACAGAGUCGCUAUGUACCAUCCUCUGGAAUGUCCGCCAAGGAACUCUGUGAAAAUGAUGACCUAGCAACCAGUUUGGUUCUUGAUCCCUAUUUAGGUUUUCAAACACACAAAAUGAAUACUAGCGCCUUUCCUUCGAGGAGCUCAAGGCAUUUUUCAAAAUCUGACAGUUUUUCUCACAACAACCCUGUGAGAUUUAGGCCUAUUAAAGGAAGGCAGGAAGAACUAAAGGAAGUAAUUGAACGUUUUAAGAAAGAUGAACACUUGGAGAAAGCCUUCAAAUGUUUGACUUCAGGCGAAUGGGCACGGCACUAUUUUCUCAACAAGAAUAAAAUGCAGGAGAAAUUAUUCAAAGAACAUGUAUUUAUUUAUUUGCGAAUGUUUGCAACUGACAGUGGAUUUGAAAUAUUGCCAUGUAAUAGAUACUCAUCAGAACAAAAUGGAGCCAAAAUAGUUGCAACAAAAGAGUGGAAACGAAAUGACAAAAUAGAAUUACUGGUGGGUUGUAUUGCCGAACUUUCAGAAAUUGAGGAGAACAUGCUACUUAGACAUGGAGAAAACGACUUCAGUGUCAUGUACUCCACAAGGAAAAACUGUGCUCAACUCUGGCUGGGUCCUGCUGCGUUUAUAAACCAUGGUAAGCUUUACUUUUAUUUUAGUUUGUGUCAACUGGUCGAGAUACAGCAUGUGUGAAGGCUCUAAGAGACAUUGAACCUGGAGAAGAAAUUUCUUGUUAUUAUGGAGAUGGGUUCUUUGGAGAAAAUAAUGAGUUCUGCGAGUGUUACACUUGCGAAAGACGGGGCACUGGUGCUUUUAAAUCCAGAGUGGGACUGCCUGCGCCUGCUCCUG